CUCCCGAAUAAAGGCCUUCCGCAGGCCCAAAAACAACGCCUCAAACCCCCACUGGUCGGCCGUCCAGCUGUCGCCCAACGAGUACAGAAACCGCUGUAGCCGGCGGCCCUUCAGCACGAUGUCUGCCAUGUCAGGCCUGCCGCGGCGGCGGUAUAUAUCUGCAAACUCCAGUUCGGCGGGUGAGAGGGCGUUGUCGCCGCCGACGAAGCUGCGGGUGGGCCACAGCAUGGCCGGGGAGCUGAAGGCGUAUUCCUUUGACUUGAUUGACGAGGAGGACCAGUCGAUGAUGGCGGUGAUGUUGCCGUCGUCGUCGACCAUGAUGUGGUCGUCCGUUUCGCAGAAGUGCUUGAGGUAGAAGGGCCCGCCUUCGCGGCUGUCUGUCGAGGCGACCAGGUCCGGGAUCGUGUGCAGGCGCCAGAGGUAGGACAGGAAGUGGCAGAGAGAGAGAUGUGCGAACUCGCCGUCGGUGAUGAUGUCUAGCUGUAAGUGCAUGAUGGCUCUGAGGGAGGCGUUAAGGCUUGAGAACGGCCCAAUUGGAGUCCGAGAGUCGCGGAACAGGGGAAGCUGUGCAUAUCCGCCUAUGCUGACUUCUCCAUCGUCCGACGGGACGAUUGACCCGGUCAUCUCGAACGAAUGGCGCUCCAGCUCGAGUGAGAUAUCCACCAGCUGCUCCAUGAUCUUCGUCUGUCUCGAUUUGCUGGCUUUGUCCCAUUGCAGUUUCCGACCGCCCAUCUUCUCCAGAAGGACGAAUGAUACGCCGACAUGGCCAUCCGCAGAGUCAGCCCAGUAGUGGUAGUAUACCCCGGGGGCAGGCACGGCAGUUUUUUCGAGGAAUUUGAGCGUGAAUACCUCGCUCAGAAAGAUAUAUUUCUGUACCGACAGGGGCGGGAAAGCGUCAUUUCUCAGCCGUAUCCGUGCAUCCCACACCACGCCAUCCUGGAAAUUUAUAUCCACGUGGAAAUCGGUUUUGGUCAUAUGCUUCGAGAUGCGUCGCCACUGGGUGUCUCUGUCGGCCGUGAGAGCAGGGAUCGAGCAAGGGACGCCACGACGAAGAUUACUCGCCAGCGAAGUCAGGGCGCAGACAUCUAGCUGGUCCAGGACCUUGAACAGGCGGCCACGCUGGGACGAGAGAUAGGCCUCGCGGUAUGCAUCUGGAUCGGUAUCCUUUUAGUUAUCAACGAAAGUCAAAGUUAGCGGGGGGGAAGCUCCCGUUCGGCAAAAAAGGUAAUUGACAAUUCCAAAGCAGCGCAAAAAAAAAAAAAGGGGGGGGGGUCUCGUGCCUCCGAAAGACAUCUGUGAGAAGCUGACUUGAUGUGGGCGCCGCAAUGGUUCCUGGAGCAGAUCAGACAGCCGCCAUGUUUGCGGGCCGCCGACUUGGAGCAGCCGUGCAAGUCGCAACCCCUCAGAGGCAUAAUACAGCUGCAGCUGCAGUGAGCUACAUAAAUAUGGACCUCCCGGGGGCCAGUGGAGGGGCAGCAGGACAGGGGGUAGAUGUAAUGGCCGGGAGAAUGAGGGUGGUGACCGAGAGUGUCUAUCUAUGAACAGCGUGUUCGUGGUGUAUGUGUGCGUGUGUGUGUGUGGAGCAGUGGUGAUCCUGGCGGGUCUUCUUCUUGGUGGUGGUGGUGGUGGUGGUGGUUGUUGUUGUUGAAGCUGGAUGUGUGGAGGGAAAAAAAACGAGGAUGCAAGCGAUGUGAAGGCCAAAGAAAAAAACAAAAAGAGCAGCCAACUCAGCAGCAGCCGAUGAGAACUGGCGAACUCACUAACAGGCAACGGCCAGGAACCAGCAGGACGUAGUGAAUCCGCCGUGCUCGACUAGCCAGCAGUUGACUUUGGUUGGUUUGGCAGUUAGUUAGUUAGUUAGUUAGUUCGUCGUCGUCGUUGUCGGGGCCUUCGUCGUCCUCAUCGUCGCCGCUGUGUAGAUAGGCCGCAGAGGAGGCUGCCACUACGCCCAGUCAAUACGCCCAGUCGGCCCAGUGCCCCGCCAAAUCGCACCUGUAAGCGACCCGCAGACCCGCCGUCCAUGCAGAAACCACUAACUACCGCCCGACCGCCAACCGCUGGCUGGCGGAUGCUUCUCAGAAGUUGGAGAUGUCGACCGAGCCCGUGCCAACCACAGAGCCUGCACACGCAAUCUGGGAACCCCCCCCUCCCCCCCCCUUGGGUGGUCAUAUGAAGAUUGGAGUCGCGGGCUGAGAACUUCGAAGCCUGCAAACUUGCUUGGGGAGAGGAAGGGGGGGUGGGUUGGGAAGAGAGAGAAGAGGAAGACUGUAUGAUGUAUCUAGGUAGUGACGGGACGGCAUCGCGGUUAGAACAAGUGGGAAGUUUUGAUUCUGAUCAAGGAGGUCUUAAACAUCCAAUUUACUCUUUUGACGAGCUCCACUCUUAUUUAUUUUUUGCUUGUUUUGUUUUAUGGUAGAAAUUGCGUUCCGUCGCUUCCACUGAGUGAUGAAGAGAGAGAUAUAUAUAUAUA
rnacentral:sRNA from 1 species